AAAUAUGUGGAAGUGAUUCUAGGUAUAUAUACCAUAGCUGUUAGCAGAUUCUCGAGCAAUUUCAUAUCUGAAACAAGCUAAGCAAAUAAGUUCCACCACUUUACCAGAACCCAUCAGUACCUCACAUUUAUAAGUUUUGAGUUGCCAUCGUGG